UGCAGCAUCCAUUCUCAUCCUCUUCACUUUUCCACUCCUCCCCUUACCUCCCUUCUCUUCUGAAUUCUCCAUUCUGGGCUCUUGCCUGUGAAAUCUUUCUUCGCUUUCCCCAUCUUUUCCUCGCAUUUUUUCACCAUCUUUCCCUCAAUCUCCAGGAGCCAAUGCGAGACUUUGGCUCCGAUUAAGCGACGGCCCGAGACUCGGGGUGCGCGAGGAGGAUCGACAGAGUGGUGAUGGAGAGCACCCCUUCAAGGGGACUGAACCGAGUACACCUACAAUGCAGGAAUCUGCAGGAAUUCUUAGGGGGCCUGAGCCCUGGGGUAUUGGACCGAUUGUAUGGGCACCCUGCCACUUGUCUGGCUGUCUUCAGGGAGCUCCCAUCCUUAGCUAAGAACUGGGUGAUGCGGAUGCUCUUUCUGGAGCAGCCUUUGCCACAAGCUGCUGUAGCCCUGUGGGUAAAGAAGGAAUUCAGCAAGGCUCAGGAGGAAAGUACAGGGCUGCUGAGCGGCCUCCGGAUCUGGCACACCCAGCUGCUCCCAGGCGGGCUCCAGGGCCUCAUCCUCAACCCCAUUUUCCGCCAGAACCUCCGCAUUGCCCUUCUGGGUGGGGGGAAGGCCUGGUCUGAUGACACAAGUCAGCUGGGACCAGACAAGCAUGCCCGGGAUGUUCCCUCCCUUGACAAGUAUGCCGAAGAGCGAUGGGAGGUGGUCUUGCACUUCAUGGUGGGCUCCCCCAGUGCAGCUGUCAGCCAGGACUUGGCUCAGCUCCUCAGCCAGGCUGGGCUCAUGAAAAGUACUGAACCUGGAGAGCCACCCUGCAUUACUUCCGCUGGCUUCCAGUUCCUGUUGCUGGACACCCCGGCUCAGCUCUGGUACUUUAUGUUGCAGUAUUUGCAGACAGCCCAGAGCCGGGGCAUGGACCUAGUAGAGAUUCUCUCCUUCCUCUUCCAGCUCAGCUUCUCUACUCUGGGCAAGGAUUACUCUGUGGAAGGUAUGAGUGAUUCUCUGUUGAACUUCCUGCAACAUCUGCGUGAGUUUGGGCUUGUUUUCCAGAGGAAGAGGAAAUCUCGGCGUUACUACCCCACACGCCUGGCCAUCAAUCUCUCAUCAGGUGUCUCUGGGGCUGGGGGCACUGUGCAUCAGCCAGGUUUCAUUGUCGUGGAAACCAAUUACCGACUGUAUGCCUACACGGAGUCGGAGCUGCAGAUUGCCCUCAUUGCCCUCUUCUCUGAGAUGCUCUAUCGGUUCCCCAACAUGGUGGUGGCGCAGGUGACCCGGGAGAGUGUGCAGCAGGCAAUCGCCAGUGGCAUCACAGCCCAGCAGAUAAUCCAUUUCUUAAGGACAAGAGCCCACCCAGUGAUGCUCAAACAGACACCUGUGCUGCCCCCCACCAUCACCGACCAGAUCCGGCUCUGGGAGCUGGAAAGGGACAGACUCCGGUUCACUGAGGGUGUCCUGUAUAACCAGUUCCUGUCGCAAGUGGACUUUGAGCUGCUGCUAGCCCACGCGCGGGAGCUGGGCGUGCUCGUGUUCGAGAACUCGGCCAAGCGGCUCAUGGUGGUGACACCGGCCGGGCACAGCGACGUCAAACGCUUUUGGAAGCGGCAGAAACACAGCUCCUGAGAGCGCGGGACUUGGACCCGGACCUCGGCGGGCGGGACCGGGCGGGGCGGGGCAUCAGAACUCAGAUCUCGGCCCUUUUCCAAACACUCCUGAUGCCUCAUUUGCCUCUCGCCUCUUUUCGACCACCAUUUUGGGGGCUGAGGCACUCACGGGGCCUCCCCAGGUUUCAUUCCGUUUCUACACAGUCGGAG